rnacentral:tRNA from 1 species
AGAACCAUGGCUCAGUGGUAAAACAUCUGCGCUGAAUGCAGGAGGUCCCAGGUUCAAUUUUUGGUGCCUCUU